UACGGAGGUGGCAAGCGUUGUUCGGAAUUACUGGGCGUAAAGGGCGCGUAGGCGGUCUGGUCAGUCCCUUGUGAAAUCCCCCGGCUCAACUGGGGAACUGCACGGGAAACAGCCGGGCUUGAGUUCGGGAGAGGGAAGCGGAAUUCCGGGUGUGGCGGUGGAAAUGCGUAGAUAUCCGGAGGAACACCGGUGGCGAAGGCGGCUUCCUGGACCGAUACUGACGCUGAGGCGCGAAAGCUAGGGGAGCAAACAGG
rnacentral:rRNA from 1 species